rnacentral:lncRNA from 1 species
CCGCGCUUCACAGCGUGUCAGCGGGACUGAACCGCCUUUGCUGUUACACAAGAGAGCCGACAGCAGCAGUAGCAGCUCAGCAUCCUUCCCCCUUCUGGCCUGUUGGAAGCUGAUGGGAGCAACAGUGCCAUAAAGAAAUGGGCUAGAUAUUUCCAGAGGCUGAAAUCUGGAGACAUUUGGAGGUGUAAGUACAUUGGUCACAGAUCUCUAACGCCCUGGCUGUGUUGGUUGUACCUCUUGACCUUCUUCCUCACAGAAAGAGCCCAUGUAAAAUGCCAUCUGCAUAUUUCAUUCAUGAAGGAAAAACACCAAGACGGUGACAGAAAC